rnacentral:rRNA from 1 species
GGAGGAAGGUGGGGAUGACGUCAAGUCCUCAUGGCCCUUAUAGGUGGGGCUACGCACGUCAUACAAUGGCUGGUACAAAGGGUUGCCAACCCGCGAGGGGGAGCCAAUCCCAUAAAGCCAGUCGUAGUCCGGAUCGUAGUCUGCAACUCGACUACGUGAAGUCGGAAUCGCUAGUAAUCGUGGAUCAGAAUGUCACGGUGAAUACGUUCCCGGGUCUU